rnacentral:lncRNA from 1 species
ACAAUCUAGAAUAAGAGAAUUUAAGAACAAGUGUAUGCAGUAUAACCUUACACCUAGAUUCAUGCCAGACGAAGUAGUUACUAGAUGGAAUUAUACAUAUAUAUUUUUAAAAGUUUGCUACAAAUAUAGAUUUCCAAUAACUGAAGUUGCUAAUGCACAUUGUAUUGAUCCUAGGUGUAUGUUAACAACUGAUACUUGGGAAGUCAUUAGUGAUGUGAUUAAAUUUUUACAUAAAUUUUAUACUGCUACUGUUGUGUUUUCUGGG